GCUGAGAUUAAUAUGAUGUGAAAGUUUUGGUGACACUAAACUGCAGACAUAAGGCUGAUAUUAUACUGAUCCACACUGAAUAUCUUAAUGCUAAAAUUACCUGAGGUCAUAGGGUGUUUAGGGUCUUUCGAUCAUCAUACACCCUCACUCAGGCAACCCAGCUGAGGUUGAUCAAGCCUCAGCUUGUGCCCUAGUAGCAAUCUCCCACGGAUCCCUUUAUUAUUCUUAUUAUAUAUUAUGUUAUUAUUAAACACUGAAUGAUUUCAAGCAGGAACAUUGUCUUUUAAAGUAACUAAUUAGUAAGUAAUUUAUUCUUUAUUCAGAUUGAGUCUCUGCAGUUUGUCAGAGAUCAGCUGUGAUUCUCUGGCCUCAGCUCUGAAGUCAAACCCCUCCCAUCUGAGAGAGUUGAGGCUGAGUGACAACAAGCUGCAGGAUUCAGAUAUGAAGCCGCUGUGUGAUCUUGUGGAGAGUCCACACUGUAGACUGGAGACUCUGAGAUGGAAGUGAUCUCUAUCAGAGAGAGAGUGAUGAGAAAGGUGGUGGUGUUGAGAGAGGAUCAGCUGUGUCCUGGUGAUCCAGAGAGGUUGAAGCAGCAACAUCAGCUAAGAGCUCUAUUGAAAUAAAUUAUUGAUAUUUUUAUUCUGCAACCUCCCCUGUAAUUCAAAUCUGCAUGGCUAAUAAGACACUGUGUAGAUUUGACUAAUAGUGUAGUACAGAAAUGAUACAUGACUACAUCUAUUGUCAUGGGUGUGUACAAAUAACUGAAUCAGGUAUAAACAUUCAUAUUUAGUUCUCAUUAGUCACCAGUAAUGAAAUGUUUAAACACCUUUAAGAAAGUCUGAACAACCCAAAGUCUCAGUGUGUUUUCAGAUUGACUGUAUUUCAAAAUAAAACACAACUGAAUAAAACUUCA